CCCAUGUGAACCACCUUACUUAGAACAUCCCUUCUACUAUUGACUUUGAUUGUUGUUAUUGCUAAGAAGAUCUAACUACCUCUUAGUGAUGCUGAUCUAAUUAUAAAACUCCUAAUAUACUUCCUUCUUCUCAACAAAUUAUUUUCCCCCUUACUUAUAAAACACCACCUUGCCUGAUUGAUCCUCAAAGCCCUAUCUCAUCUUAGCCCCCCAC
rnacentral:lncRNA from 1 species